GCCCUGAGGGAGGAGGUGGCAUGGGGGGUCAGGGCUGGAGACUGGGCGAACACAGAACCCCCACUCAUAAGGACAAAGCUGCUUUCUCCCCUCCCACCUCCAUCUGUUCUCUCAUCCUGCAGCCUCCAGGGGCUUCCAGAACCCGGAGACACUGGCUGACAUUCCGGCCUCCCCACAGCUGCUGACCGAUGGCCACUACAUGACGCUGCCCCUGUCUCUGGACCAGCUGCCCUGUGACGACCCCAUGGCGGGCGCGGAGGCGCCCCCGUGCUGCGGGUGGGCCAUGACCACGGCUGCCACCAGCAGCCCUUCUGCAACGCGCCCCUCCCUGGCCCUGGACCCUAUCGGGUGAAGUUCCUCCUGAUGGACACCAGGGGCUCACCCAGGGCUGAGACCAAGUGGUCAGACCCCAUCACUCUCCACCAAGGGAAGACCCCCGGAUCCAUCGACACCUGGCCAGGGCGGCGAAGUGGCAGCAUGAUCGUCAUUACCUCCAUCCUCUCUUCUCUGGCCGGCCUCCUACUCUUGG
rnacentral:sRNA from 1 species